GUGAAGGUGGCUCAGUGGUAAAGUGCUUGCCUUGCAAGCAUGAGGCCCUGGGUUCGAUUCUUCACCACCACA
rnacentral:tRNA from 1 species